ensembl:lncRNA
GGGUGACGCUGACAAGAAUUUUGGAGGAGAGGCCUUCGACAAGAAUCUACCUAGAAAAUAUUGAUAGCAAUUUGUUGUGAAUCAGGGAGACAGUUUCUGUCAACAUCUUUUUUUCUUUUUUUUUUUUUUUAAGUGGAUAUUUUCAUCCCCUGCCAUCUGUGCCCUGGACAUAACUUCAUAUUUGUUUUUAUGACACAGGCCAAGCUCUUACUACAGGAAGCCAGACAAGUGUGCCUUCAGGUUUGUCUUUCAGCCAACCAAAAUCUCAGAACUUCGACCCCUUUGCUGACCUUGCUAACCUUAAAUCUGGUCUUCCAGGUCCUUCCAGUGGUGGAUUCCCAGCUGGUGGGUUUGGUCAGAAGUCAGCUCCAUCCCAGAAAGGAGGGAAUCAGUGGCAGACAAAGAAACCACAAAAUACAGGUACUACGUGGCAGUCCCACACUCAACCACAGCAAGCUAAAUCCAGCACACAGAGUAAACCCAACUAUACCGGGAACUUCAGUGUUAUUGGAGGUCGAGAAGAGAGAGGUAUCCGAGCUCCAGGCUUUGGUAAGUUCUGUUUCCUGGAACUAUAGUUAUAAUGGCGUGUUGCGUAUGAAGUCCUUGUGGUCUCUACAAGCAUGGUUCUGGCGCUUUAUGAAAACAGAAGCUUUGAAAGGUUCUGAAGAACUUAUUUUAGUCAUGUUACAGGCUUCAUAUUUUGUUUUGUUAUUAAAUGAGGUCUAAUAGCAAUAACAUGAGUGGCAUUUAAGCAGUUGUGUUCAGAUAAAGGUCCACUUCUCAGAUAUCUCUCAUUGCCUACCAGCAGUUCCUGAUUGAUAUUAGCAUGACAGUAUGCAUUGUUGUUGUAGCUGUGUUGGUCCCAGGAUAUUAGUGACACAGGUGGGUGAGGUAAUAUCUUUUAUUGGACCAACUUCUGUUGUUGAGAGAGACAAGCUUUUUAGUUUACACAGAGCUCUUCAGAUCUGGGAAAUGUACACAGAGGCCUGGUUACAGUAGGAAACUAGGUCAGUUAUAACUCUGUCACUCAGGGGUGUGAAAAAUCCACGCCCUUGAGCAAUGCAGUUAAAUCAUCCUAACCCCUGGUGUAGACAGCUCUAGAUCAAUGGGAGAAUUCUCCCAUCAACCUAGCUACCACCUCUCGGGGAGGUGAAUUACCUACACUGAUGGAAGAACUCCUCCCAUUGGCAUAGGUAGUGUCUUCAUUUUAAGGGCAUGGCUACACUUGCAGAUGUAGAGCGCUUUGAGUUAAACCAGCCCUCGGACAGCGCAGUAGGGAAAGCGCUGCAGUCUGUCCACAUUAGCAGCUCUUGCAACGGCCACAAAGAGCAGCAUGCAAGUGGUUGCAACAUGCUUUUCAAGUGGGGGUGUGACGUGACAGGGAGUGUGUUGUGUGUAUGUGGGGGGAGAGAGUGGGUUUGGGGGGGACUGAGAGCAUGUCCGCAUGCUGUCUUUUAAGUUCAGACAGCAGCAGAGCCCCUCUCCCCCCACCUCUCUCUCACACGCAGCAUUCCACACUAAUGGUUGCUUUGUCUUGGAGCAGCUAAACAGCCAGCUAUCAGAAACGGAGCUUUGAAAGGGCAUAUCCAAAACAAUGACAAGAGUGUUCACUUGACUUAAGGGGAUUAUGGGACGUUUCCGGAGGCUGAUCAGAGCGCAGUAAUGCAACACCUCGUUCACACUGACGCAGGGGAGCUCCAGCGGGGGCGCAGCAAACGUUAUUCCUCUCGCCAAGGUGGAGUACCAGCAGCGCUCUAGCUGUGGAGUCAGAGUGCUCUACGGGCCUUGCCAGUGUGGACGGGUAGUGAGCGAGUGUGUCCUGGGCUCCUUUAAUGCGUUCUAACUUGCAAGUGUAGCUAAGCCCUAAACGUCAAAAAGCCCAGAGUGCCACAGCUAAGUACAAGGGGGUAGAUUGUUUAGCAUAAGGAGUUAACCUUGAAUGGUCCCUUGAAAUGUGUUAAGUGGCCUGUUAACAUCUCUUCAGUCAUAGAGCGGGAAAGGAGGGGGUGGGGGUGUGUGUGAAAGCUAUAACCCACUUAACCUUGAAUGGUCCCUUGAGAUAUGUGAAACACCCCCUGAGUGACAUAAAGUUACACCGACAGAAGUGCUGGUGUGGACAGAGGCUCUCCCACCGACAUUACUGCUGCUGCUCGUUGGAGGUGGUUUAAUUAUGUCUACAGGAGAGCUCUGUCCUGUGGAUAUAGAGCAGCUACAUGAGCUAUCCGACAGCAGCACACCUGCAUCAGUAAGCUCGCUAGUGUAGACAUGGUGUUAGGGGAAAAACAGUUUUUAAGAGAGCUGGCAGUUUUUCAGAGAGACAUUAUUAAGGGUAAAAUAGCAAACUACCUCACCGCGUAGGAAAGAUAGGAAGUAUGGCAAGAGACCACCCUGGCUUAACCAGGAGAUCUUCAAUGAUCUGAAACUCAAAAAAAAAAAAAAAACUACUUAACAAAAAGUAGGAACCUAANNNNNNNNNNACAGAGUUUAAGAGGUUUCGCAGAUUUUACAAUAGAACUUAUUAACAGCCAACAAGCAAACGGCAUCACCGCGUAGGAAAGAUAGGAAGUAUGGCAAGAGACCACCCUGGCUUAACCAGGAGAUCUUCAAUGAUCUGAAACUCAAAAAAAAAAAAAAAAAAAAUCUUACAAAAAGGGGAACCUAAGUCAAAUUACAAAGGAUGAAUAUAAACAAAUAACACAAGUAUGUAGGGACAAAAUUAGAAAGACCAAGGCACAAAACGAGAUCAAACUAGCUAGAGACAUAAAACAAGAAAAUAUUCUACAAAUACAUUAGAAGCAAGAAGACAACCAAGGACGCUGUAGGCCCAUUUCUCAAUGAGGGGGAGAAAACAAUAAUAGAAAAUGUGGAAAUGGCAGAAGUUCUAAAUGAUAUUUUUGUUUCGGUUUUCACCAAGAAGGUUGGUGGUGAUUGGACAUCUAACACAGUGAAUGCCAGUGAAAAUGAGGUAGGAUCAGAGGCUAAAAUAGGGAAAGAACAAGUUAAAAAUUACUUAAACAAAUAAGAUGUUUUCAAGUCGCCAGGGCUUGAUGAAAUACGUGCUAAAAUACUCAAGGAGCUGACUGAGGAGAUAUCUGAGCCAUUAGCAAUUCUCUUCAAAAAGUCAUGGAAGACGGGAGAAAUUCCAGAGGACUGGAAAAGGGCAAAUAUAGUGCCCAUCUAUAAAAAUGGCAAUGAGUACAACCUGGCGAAUUACACACCAGUCAGCUUAACUUCAGUACCUAGAAAGAUAAUGGAGCAAAUAAUUAAGCCAUCAGUUUGCAAACAUCUAGAAGAUAAGGUGAUAAGUAACAGUCAUCAUGGAUUUGUCAAGAACAAAUCGUGUCCAACCAACCUGAUAGCUUUCUUUGACCAGGGAACAAGCCUUGUGGAUGGGGGCAAGCAGUAAAUGUGGUAUAUCUUCACUUUAGUAAGGCUUUUGAUACUGUCUCGCAUGACCUUCUCAUAAGCUAGGAAAUACAACCUAGAUGGAGCUACUACAAGGUGGCUUCAUAACUGGUUAGAAAACUGUUCUCAGAGAGUAGUUAUCAGUGGUUCACAGUUAUGCUGGAACUGCAUAAUGAGUGGGAUCCCGCAGGGAUCAGUUCUGGUCCGGUUCUGUUCAAUAUCCUCAUCAGAGAUUUAGAUAAUGGUAUAGAGAGUACACUUAUAAAGUUUGUGGAUGAUGCCAAGCUGAGAGGGGUUGCAAGUGCUUAGGAGGAUAGGACUAAAAUUCAAAAUGAUCUGAAGUAAAUACUCCACUUAGGAAGGAACAACCAGUUGCACGCAUACAAAAUGGGAAAUUACUGCCUAGGAAGGAGUACCACGGAAAGGGAUCUGAGGGUCAUAGUGGACCAGAAGCUAAGUAUGAGUCAACAGUGUAACACCGUUGCAAAAAAAAUGCGAGCAUAGUUCUGGGAUGUAUUCGCAGAAGAGUUGUAAGCAAGACACAAAAAGUAAUUCUUCCACUCUACUCCGCAUUGAUUAGGCCUCAACUGGAGUAUUGUGCCCAGUUCUGGGCACCACAUUUCAGGAAAGAUGUGGACAAAUUGGAGAAAGUCCAGAGAAGAGCAACAAAAAUGAUUAAAGGUCUAGAAAACAUGAUCUCUGAGGAAAUAUUGCAAAAAUUGGGUUUUAGUCUGAAGCAGAGAAGACUGAGAGGGGACAUAACAGUUUUCAAGUACAUAAAAGAUUGUUACAAGGAGGAGGGAGAAAAAUUGUUUUCGUUAACCUCUGAGGAUAGGACAAGAAGCAAUGGGCUUAAAUUGCAGCAAGGGAGGUUUAGGUUGGACAUUAGGAAAAACUUCCUGUCAGGGUAGUUAAGCACUAGAAUAAAUUGCCUAGGGAGAUUGCCUAACCUGCUAUU